UACGUAGGGACCAAGCGUUGUUCGGAUUUACUGGGCGUAAAGGGCGCGUAGGCGGCUUGACAAGUCACUUGUGAAAUCUCCGGGCUUAACUCGGAGCGGCCAAGUGAAACUGUCAUGCUAGAGUGCAGAAGGGGCAAUCGGAAUUCUUGGUGUAGCGGUGAAAUGCGUAGAUAUCAAGAGGAACACCUGAGGUGAAGACGGGUUGCUGGGCUGACACUGACGCUGAGGCGCGAAAGCCAGGGGAGCAAACGGG
rnacentral:rRNA from 1 species